ACCCUUAGAUGUUCUGGGCCGCACGCGCGCUACACUGACGAAUGCAACGAGCUUAUAAUAACCUUGGCCGAAAGGUCUGGGUAAUCUCCAAAUUUCGUCGUGAUGGGGAUAGAUUAUUGCAAUUAUUAAUCUUCAACGAGGAAUGCCUAGUAAGCGCAAGUCAUCAGCUUGCGUUGAUUACGUCCCUGCCCUUUGUACACACCGCCUGUCGCUCCUACCGAUUGAAUGGUCCGGUGAAGCGUUCGGACCGUGGCCUUUGGACGGUUCGCCGUCUGUUGGCUGCGGGAAGUUCGUUAAACCUUAUCAUUUAGAGGAAGGAGAAGUCGUAACA
rnacentral:rRNA from 1 species